rnacentral:rRNA from 1 species
GCCUAGCAGUAACAAAGCAGUCAAAUAAUAAUUGUUCGCCAAAUAACUACGAGUGAAAACUUAAAAUUUAAAAGACUUGACGGUACUUCACACCAACCUAGAGGAGCCUGUCUAAUAACCGAUAAUCCACGAUUAACCCCACCCUCUCUAGCCUUACAGUCUAUAUACCGCCGUCGCCAGCUUACCUUGUGAAAGAACCAAAGUAAACCUAACAGUCUCCCCACUUACACGACAGGUCGAGGUGUAACUAAUGAAAGGGAAAAAGAUGGGCUACAUUCUCUAACCCAGAAUAAACGAACCUACUAUGAAACUAGAAACUGAAGGCGGAUUUAGCAGUAAGUCAAGAAUAAAAUACUUAACUGAAAUUAAUGC